CCCAGCGGUAAGUCAGCUGUGCAGGCCUGUCCCGUGCCUGAUCCAGUGUUACUCUGCUGGAAUAGAAACUCAUUGCCAGCGUAGCUCUGUCCUGCUGCCUCUGUUUUAGGGGUGGCUGUGGCGGAGCCAUGGCAGUGCUCUGGACCCUCAGAGAGUGGAGCUUCCCCGUAUGUAACCGGGACGUUCCUAGUCUGGGUUCAAACACU